rnacentral:rRNA from 1 species
AGCGAACGCUGGCGGCAGGCCUAACACAUGCAAGUCGAACGAACUCUUCGGAGUUAGUGGCGGACGGGUGAGUAACACGUGGGAACGUGCCUUUUGGUUCGGAAUAACUCAGGGAAACUUGUGCUAAUACCGAAUGUGCCCUUCGGGGGAAAGAUUUAUCGCCAUUAGAGCGGCCCGCGUCUGAUUAGCUAGUUGGUGAGGUAACGGCUCACCAAGGCGACGAUCAGUAGCUGGUCUGAGAGGAUGACCAGCCACACUGGGACUGAGACACGGCCCAGACUCCUACGGGGGGCAGCAGUGGGGAAUCUUGCGCAAUGAGCGAAAGCCUGACGCAGCCAUGCCGCGUGAAUGAUGAAGGUCUUAGGAUUGUAAAAUUCUUUCACCGGGGACGAUAAUGACGGUACCCGGAGAAGAAGCCCCGGCUAACUUCGUG